UGAGAUAUGGAUGAGUUAGAAAAGUGGGAUGCAUGUUGGGAAGGAUUGGAAGGUGUGGGAGGCGUGUUUAUGCACGAAGCUGAGUUCUGGAUGAACUCAGGUUCGGCAGCCGAAGGAGGAUUCGGCCGCCGAACAUGCCCGACUUUCGUCUCUGGAGGAGACAUUCGGCCGCCGAAGGUGCUGUCGAAGGUGCCCUGUCCAACCUUCCUUUGCUUGUUUUGCAUGCAUGUUUUGACGUGUUCUAGAGGGGUUUUGGGAAGUUGUUUAUCAGUUGUAUAGAGUAUGUUUGGUGCCUCAUUUGCGUCCUCCAUUGUAGGAUUGAACCCGAGGAAUCGAGGUGUUUAGCAGUAAUAGCUGCUUCAGAGUUAGAGGUAGCCCAGAGUGAGCCAAGCAGUGGCUCCAGGUGAGUGGAACUAAACUUCAUAUUUUACUUGAGAAAUGACACGUUUCUAGCAUGAUCCAUGCAUCAUAAAAUGCCAUGUUAUGUAGUAGGUUGUGUUGCAUUAGAAUUCACGAAUAUGAUGCAUUGCAUAAGAUGUUGUUACUGUGGAUGAAUGUUGGAUGAUCCUUCGCCCUUGAUAGAGAUAUGAUACUAUGAGAUGAGUUAUGGCAUGAGAUAGCCAUACCAGGUCGCUCCUGGAUAGUCCAGGUCGCUCCUGGUACUAUGAGUUAGACAGAUAGCCUGUCAGAGCAGAGAUAAAAGAAGUCCAGGUGAUGACCUAGUCUCCUUGGCACAGUGGGACAUGUUAUGAUAUGAGACAGAUAAGAGAAGUCCAGGUGAUGACCUAGUCUCCUUGGCACAGUAGGACCUAUUAUGACAUGUAGUAGAGGGCUAUUGGUGACAAGUUCAUCCGUGAGAUGAUAUGUUUGUGAUGUGAUGUAUUUCAUGAAAACAUGUAAUGAAUGAAUUGUUUUAUUGUUCCUCCUCACUGGGCUAUAGAGCUCAUCCCACUCCCUUAACCCCAGUUUUGCAGGUUCUGAGAUAGCUAUGGGAAGUCAGAGUCCGCACGAGUAAAGGAAGAUAUGCAUGAAUGUAUGUUUGUAAUAGCAUAGUGGACAUGAUGUAAUUAACAGAUUAGUUGUAAUGUAAUGUAUAGAUAUGUACUGUCAUAUACUGGAUAGACUUGUGCUUUCCCUAGUGUCUUUGCUUUAGUGUGAUAUAUGAUUAAUCCCUUGUACAUGAAUCCUGUUUUACGUUUCUUGAUGAGAAAUGUGUGUAUCAGGCUUAAUGUAUGGCUUUGAUGAGAUACCAGUGGAUUGUGUUACAGAUUAAAAGGGUUUCAAUCCCUUGACCCACAGCAGAUAGUAGUCACUGGUAUAGGCCCUGAGGGCCAUUUCAGAUUUGCAUAUCUGAGUAGCAGUAGUUAAGCCUGGAGUGUUUUACAGGAUUGUUGAGUAGUUUGAUCAUGUAUGGGAUUUAUCAGGUACACAGAGAGUAUAGUCGGCUUGCUACGGGUCCCGGCGGCCUUAAGCCGAUCUGGAUCCUAGUGCCAGUGAUGGUUCGGACCGUGACAGAGGGGUACCGGUUUCUGGGCUGUUACAGAUUGGUAUCAGAGCAUAGGGCCUCAAGAGUACGGUGUGUUGAGCAUCUUUGUUCAAGGACUAGUGAUAUCCCACAUCGGAAAGAGGUGUUGUCUUGUAUAGGAGGGUAAGCACAAUAAGAAAAAUCAUGUCCACUAGGAUAGGAUGUGGAGUCCUGUCUUGCAUGAUGAUGUGAAAUGCCAUGACAAGAUACAUGUGCAUUAUUGCUAUGUGAUAUAUAUGUUGUGGAUUCAUGUGUUCUAACAUGGAUCAUUUGAUGUUUUGUGUGAUGUUGUGCUUUUCAGAAACUGGAUGAGAGGGACUCGUCGAUCUACUAGAUUGACUGGAGCUCCGCCGGAGAAUGAGGACAUGGAUGCCCAUCUCCCCGUUCUGCAAAGGGCAACAUCAGAUAGAUUAAGCAGAGAAGGUACAUCAAGGGACCCUAGAAGGUCUGUUGAUGAGAGUAGAAGGGGAGUCGUUCAGAGUGGUAUGUCAGGGGAUAUGAGGGAAGUAGAGGAGGAUGAGCAGAGCAGAGAUGGUAGUUUGGGCAUGAGUAUGUUAGGAGCAGAUAUGGGUGAGUCCCAAGGAGGCACUCAGGCCUCGAGAUUUAUUCCACCUCAGUAUCCGAUGGGUGGUACAGCGGGUUUCCCUAAGUAUAACCCAUAUCCCACCUUUAUGCCUUAUCCUUCCUUUUAUCCGCCAUAUCCACAGUAUACCAUGUUUCCACCCUUCUUUGGUUAUCCAAAUUCAGUAAACCCUAACCCAGGGAAUGUUGCACCUCCUCCACCACCAGUAGAAUCAGUAGCCCCAGUUGUCCAAACACCUAAGCCUAGUUCACCUGGAGGAAGUACGGUACAGAUGACAGACUAUUUGAGGUUGGAUGUUCCCAAAUUUGAGACAGGUGAUGACCCUUUUGAGUAUCUCAGAACGGUCAAGAUGAUAACUGAUGAGUUGGGAGCCAGUGAGAGUAGAGCCAUUCAGAUGGCAGGGGUCACAUUGAAAUGUAAGAAGGUAAGGGAAUGGUUCAACCAAUAUGUGGACCCGAGGGUAGAAAGCUUAUCCUGGGAGCAGUUUGCUACAGAGUUUGUCGGAUGGGCUUUUCCAGAUAGCUCAAGGGAGUGUAAGGAGAGUGAAUUUGAGCAGCUAGGGCAGACAGAAAACAUGAGUGUAGAAAAUUACCCAGAGAAUAGGGAUCGUUUCCCUUUGGGUGAGGCUGCUGCAAUGAGUAAAAAGAAAGUUAGAGGCCUAAAAGGGUCAAAGAAAAGAGAGUUCUGGAAUAGGUUAAAGUCUCGUAUGGGUUUUAGCGAUGGCUCGAGUUCUGUUUGGGAAAGUUCUAGAUGUACAAGGUGCGGUAGGAGGCACAGAGGAGUCUGUCUAGUAGGGACAACAGCAUGUUUCAGGUGCGGACAGGAGGGACACAUAGCACGUGAGUGUUCCACCGCGACUUUGAUGACACAGUCCCAGUAGACAGCCUCAGACAGAGUGGCUCAGCCAGGAGCUCUAGCCAUGGCGCUGGGCAGAGGCAGAGGGAGCGAGAUCACUCCUUCUUCCACAAGUUCCCCAGGUGAAGGUCCAUCAGUACCAGCACGGAUCUUCGCUUUGACGCAGCCGGAGGCUCACACAUCGGACAUGGCGGUGACAGGUACUUUUCACUUCCAUAUGUUUUGAUGUGUCUGCUAUUAGAGGCUCUGAUGUUUCGCUUUCCUUAGUGCUUUGAGAGCCAUAGAGAGUAGGGAUUAGAAUGUCCUCUUUAGCUCAAUAGACCCAAGUGUGAUCCAUCAGUGGCAGAGUCAGUCUGCCAGUUGAGUUUAGUGCGCGUUAUGAGUAGAUGCCUUCCAGCUGACCUAGUGGUUCUAGAGUGAUUGUUUGAUGUCAUUCUAGGGGUGGAUGGGCUAGCUACUCAUAGUACUGCCUUAGAUAGCAGAGACAGAGUAGUCAGGCUUAGAGAUCAAGGUGGAUCACAGGUAGUUUGUUGAGGGGACAGUGUAGAGAUGCCUGGAGUUUGAUAUCAGCCCUAUAAGCUCUUAAGCUGUUUAGAAGAGGUUAUCAGAGGUUUCUUGCUUGUGUCAGAGAGCAUAGCAGUUAGUCAGAUCAGGAGGGGAACCAGUUUUAGUGCCCGCAGCCAGAGAAAAGUUUUAGAUAUUGUCCCAACAAGCCGUCAGGUUUACCACCUACUAAGAGAAUAGAAUGGGAUAUAGGAAUGGUGUCUAAACCCAGAACCAUUCCUAGUCUUCUCUGCAGGAUGGCACCAGUAGAGUGAGAGAGAUAGUAAAAGCCAAAUGAGUAGUAGCUAGAGGUUAGUAAGCCAGGAAAGAGCUCGAGAGUGUUGCUAUGAGAUGCUAUGACCUUGGAUUUUAUCCAGGUAUAGGGAGAGUGAUCUCUCAUCUUCAAGUGCAGCCCUCAAGUAUAAUAAAUAAUUUAGAGAACAGAGUAAGAAGUAGAAGAGUAAGAAAAGAGUACAAGCAAGUGAGAUAGAUCAGAAUAAGAAGAAGAGAAAAGUAAUUGAACUAGAGCAGAACAGAGAAAGAAAAGAGUAAGAGAAAAUGUAAGUUCAGGAGGAGAUUUCAUUUUAGUCUGGGAUUAGGUGGUGGUUGAGGCAGAGGAAAGGAUUACUUUUCCAUUAGUAGGUUCCCGAGGGAAGUUCCGUUAGCUUUAGCUCGGAUCUUCACCCUGACUCAGCAGGAGGCUAUCACAUCGAACAUGGUGACGUCAGGUACGUUCACUUGUGAAUGUUCGGACGUGUAUGCUAUUUGUUUUGAACCCGAGUGUUUCUCUUUCCUUGCUGCUUAAUGAGCCGUUGAUAGAGUGGGUUUGAUGACUUCUAGGCUUACGGUGUUUUCUCUAGGUCAGUGGACCUGAGUAUGAUCCAUUUGAGGCAGAGUCAGUCAGAUUAGUUUAGAGUUUGUGGUGAGUAGAUGCGAUCCAGCUGACCUUAUGGUUCUAGAGUUGACUAUGUGAUGUCAUUCUAGGGCGGAUUGGCUCGCUACUCAUAGGAUUACCUGUGUCUACAGAGACAAGGUAAGAGAGUACAGAAUGCAAGAUGGAUCAGAGGCAGUCCUUAGAAGGGACAAAGUAUAGGUGCCUAGAGGUUUGAUGUCAGUCCAGCAGGCUCAUAGUUACACAGGAAAGGUUAUUAGAGGGUUCUAGCUCUUGUGAGCGAGUUUCGUAGUCAGGUCAGGGAAUCAGCCUCAGUGCCCGUUGCUAGCGAGUUCUAGAUGUUUUUCCCAGACGAGCUGUCAGGUUUACCAUCUGUCAGGGAGUCAGAGUUUGGAAUAGAAGUGGUGUCUGGACGCAGAACCAUUUCUUUCCUUCUACCCUACAGGAUGGCACCUGCAGAGAGAGCAUAGUCAAAGUGGUACAGAGAAGCUUGGUAGAUAAAGGUUGUAUCCGACCUAGUACCUCACCCUGGAAUGUUCCAGUGUCGUUGUGAGAAACGAAGGAUGAAACCUUGAGACUUUGUCAUAACUGUGAGCAAUUGCACAAGGCCACUACCAAGGACAGGUGUUCCCAUGUAGAAUGGAUGAUCUAUAGGAACAGCUAGUAGAAGCUGGUUGUUUUCCAUAAUAGAUCUGAGAGUUGGGAACUAUAUGUCGAAAGUUAGAGAAAAGUCAGUUUAGCAGUUGAGUAGAGAUGAGAUCUUUAUCGAUCAAAGGAGUUUAUAGAGAAGAGUCUGAAAUAGAGGUAAGGGGUAAAACUGCUCAGCGACUCUGAGUUUACCAAACAAUCUCUACUGGGUGAGGCAGAUGAGAUGUUAGCUGUCCUCAGUCAGAAGUCGCUUACCAGCUUAUCCUAUAGAAACAGGUAUUACUUCAGGUUGAUGAUCGGUUGGAUCAGCUGGCAGGAGCCAGUUGUUUUCCAAGCUAGAUCUGAAAUCUGGGUGCUAGCUGUUGAGAGCUAGAAUAGUCCAGUGUAGUUCGAAGGGAUCAGAAGCGAAGAAGCCAGUAUAGUAAAGAAGAAGAAAGGCGGGCAAGGAUCAGAGUGCGUAGCGGAAGGUUAUAGUGUUGUUUGUGGUGUCUCCAAUAUGUGGUGAGCCGUUGAGGGGUGAAGAAUAAAAGGUUAAAUCCAUAGAAUCCUGUAAAGGAUUAAAGAGAUAGGAUUUACCUGUUUGUAAGAGGAAAACCAUUUGGUUUCCUUAUUUCUUUUGUUCUAGAGUGGUGUUGGAUCCGAUAGAGGUUCUGUAUGAACCAAAGGUGGAGAUCUCAGGAAAUCUCACCUGUAUAGCAUAGUGAGAACGGCUCAUACACACUCAGCUCGCAUAAUAGAAGAAUAGGAAGCUUUGCGAAGGAAGUCCCUUAGAAUCACCCCAAGAGUGUAGUAUGGAUAGGCGACCCGGGAGUGUUUACUCCAGUAAUAUCUGUGUCUCUUCUGAAAGGAAGGUGUUAGGCUUUCCUUGAUUGCUUGUUUACAUGUGUGUUUGUUGUGUGAACAUUCGAGGACGAAUGUUCUUAAAGGGGGGAAGAAUGUAAUACCCGGCUAGAUUCAGACAUCGGAAUUCCUACCGUCCGGUGGAAUGCGAGGAUGUCAGAGGUUUCUAGAAGGGUAAAAGAAAGGUUUUCUAAAAUGUUUUCGAGUAUUUUAAAGGUUUAGAAUGGAAAUGGAUUAAGUUUUGAAGAGAAAAGGCCAAGGAGGCAUUUUGCCAUGUUCGGCUGCCGAAGGUAAUGUUCGGCCGCCGAAAGUGCCCGAGAUUCGGCCCCCGAAAGUCUGAGUUCGGCCGCCGAACGUUGAAUGGUUUUGCAUGCGAUUUCUUAAUCUCCUUCCUUUGCAUGUUUUUCUAUGAUUGUUUCAUGAUGUUUUAGGGAGUUUUUGGGGAGUAGUUUAGAGUUAUGUUCAUGUAUGUUGGUCCCUCAUUUGAGUCCACCUGUGUAGGUUCGGACCCGAGGAACCGAGGACCCCAGCAGUGAGUCAGUUGCCCCAGUGUCUGGUCAGAGCUAUCCAGAGGUGAGUGGAAUAACCUAUUACGUUUUUAAAGCAAAUAAAUGGACAUUUCAGCAUGAUUCACGCAUCAUUAAUGCCAUGAAAUAUACUAGGUUGUUUGCAUUAGAAUUCACGAAUAUGUUGCAUUGCAUACUUUACUAUUGUUGUUGUGGAUGAAUGUUGGAUGAUCCAUAGUCCUCGAUCUAUGAUGUGAUGAUGUGAAAUGUACGGUACGGAAUGUAAGACCAGUGGGACCCAUUCUACGUUCGCUGGCACUAUGUAAGAGGAAGACCAGGACCCAUUCUACGUUCUGGCACAGUUGGACUGUUAUGUUAUGCCAUGUAAGGGAAAGACCAGGACCCAUUCUACGUUCUGGCACAGUUGGACUAUGUAGAGGACUAUUGGUGACAAAUUCAUCCUUGAUGUGAUUAGCUGUGAUGUGAUGCAUUCCAUGUUAUCAUAUGUUUUGAAUGUUUUAUUAUUAUGCUCACUGGGCUCUAGUAGCUCACCCCUCUCCCAAAUUCCCCAGGUUUGCAGGUACAGGGUAGACCAGGAGGUCAGCAAGAGUAUUGAAGUCUUAUCGUUUUGUAAUAGAUAGUGUGGACAUGAUAAAUGUAUUUGAUGUUAUGUAAAAGUACAGUUUAGACAUGUAAUGUAAUGAGGCUUAUGGAUGAUAGAGGUGUGCUUGACCAUAGAAUGUAAGGUAUCCCUUUUUAUACAUGAUCUUAGAUGUUUUGUGAUGUUUAUGUAAACCAACUCAACAUAUGAUGUAUUGCCCAUUGGGGCAUUGAUGAAAUCCCACAGAGGGGUCAUAGUUAUGAUUAUGAUUAUGUACAGUGCAUGUACAGGUUGAGUUUGGUGUAUGAAUGAAAGAAAAGUUUUAAUUUUUAUGUAUGUUGUUGAUCAUGUAUGGGAUUAAACAGGUUUACAGGUUGCCUGUCAGGCUUGCUACGGGUCCCGGUGGCCUUAAGCCGACCUGGAUCCUAGCGCCGGUAGCGGUCCGAUUUUCAGGUCGUUACAAAUAUGAUGCAUUGCAUAAGAUGUUGUUACUGUGGAUGAAUGUUGGAUGAUCCUUCGCCCUUGAUAGAGAUAUGAUACUAUGAGAUGAGUUAUGGCAUGAGAUAGCCAUACCAGGUCGCUCCUGGUACUAUGAGUUAGACAGAUAGCCUGUCAGAGCAGAGAUAAGAGAAGUCCAGGUGAUGACCUAGUCUCCUUGGCACAGUGGGACAUGUUAUGAUAUGAGACAGAUAAGAGAAGUCCAGGUGAUGACCUAGUCUCCUUGGCACAGCAGGACCUAUUAUGACAUGUAGUAGAGGGC
rnacentral:lncRNA from 1 species